AGGUAGCGAAAUUCCUUGUCGGGUAAGUUCCGACCUGCACGAAUGGCGUAACGAUCUCCACACUGUCUCGGCCAGAGACUCGGUGAAAUUGCAGUCGCGGUGAAAAUUCCGUGUACCCGCAGAAAGACGGAAAGACCCUGUGCACCUUUACUAUAGCUUGACAUUGGAUUUUGGGCCUGCAUGUGUAGGAUAGGUGGGAGGCUGCGAACCCUGUACGCCAGUAUGGGGGGAGCCAUCCUUGAAAUACCACCCUUGCAUGUUUAAGAUCCUAACUUCUUCCGGUUAUCCCGGGGAAAGACAGUGUCUGGCGGGUAGUUUGACUGGGGCGGUCGCCUCCUAAAGUGUAACGGAGGCAUGCAAAGGUUCCCUCAGCCUGAUCGGAAACCAGGCGCUGAGUGCAAACGCAUAAGGGAGCUUGACUGUAAGAGAGACAUCUCGAACAGGAACGAAAGUUGGCGUUAGUGAUCCGGUGGUCCCGAAUGGAAGGGCCAUCGCUCAUUGGAUAAAAGGUACGCCGGGGAUAACAGGCUGAUCGCAUCCAAGAGUUCACAUCGACGAUGCGGUUUGGCACCUCGAUGUCGGCUCAUCACAUCCUGGGGCUGAAGCAGGUCCCAAGGGUACGGCUGUUCGCCGUUUAAAGUGGUACGCGAGCUGGGUUUAAAACGUCGUGAGACAGUUUGGUCCCUAUCUUCUGUGGGCGAAGGAGAAUUGAGAGGGCCUGUCCCUAGUACGAGAGGACCGGGAUGGACGCACCCCUGGUGAUCCUGUUGUCGCGCCAGCGGCAUAGCAGGGUAGCUAUGUGCGGAAGGGAUAACCGCUGAAAGCAUCUAAGCGGGAAGCCUGCCUCAAGAUAAGUUCUCCCCUCGAAAGAGCUGAAGGGCCCGGGUAGACUACCCGGUCGAUAGGCUGGAGGUGUAAGCGCGGCGACGUGCUCAGCUGACCAGUACUAAUAGCCCGAGCGGCUUAUUUUU
rnacentral:rRNA from 1 species